rnacentral:rRNA from 1 species
AUUGAACGCUGGCGGCAGGCCUAACACAUGCAAGUCGAACGAGUGGCGGACGGGUGAGUAAUGUCUGGGAAACUGCCCGAUGGAGGGGGAUAACUACUGGAAACGGUAGCUAAUACCGCAUACCAUCGGAUGUGCCCCGAUGGGAUUAGCUAGUAGGUGGGGUAACGUCUCACCUAGGCGACGAUCCCUAGCUGGUUUGAGAGGAUGACCAGCGGCACUGGAACUGAGAGACGGGCCAGAGUCCUACGGGAGUCAGCAGUGGGGAAUAUGGCACAAUGGGCGCAAGCCUGAUGCAGCCAUGCCGCGUGUAUGAGGAAGGCCUGCGGGUUGUAGAGUACUUUCAGCGAGGAGGCGUUACUCGCAGAAGAAGCACCGGCUAACUCCGUGCCAGCCGCCGCGGUAAUAC